rnacentral:rRNA from 1 species
AGGAUAAACGCUGGCGGCGUGCCUAAUGCAUGCAAGUCGAACGGAGUAGUCUUUCGGGACUACUGAGUGGCGGACGGGUGAGGAACACGUACGAGACCUGCCCUUGGAUGGGGAAUAAGCCCUCGAAAGGGGGUCUAAUGCCGCAUACGGUCCCAAGCAGCAAGGUUUGGGAGGAAAGCUCGAGAGGGCGUCCGAGGAGGGGCGUGCGGCCGAUUAGCUAGUUGGUGGGGUAAAGGCCUACCAAGGCGACGAUCGGUAGC